rnacentral:rRNA from 1 species
ACCGAUGAUGGCUCAGUGAGGCUUCGACUGGCUUCAGAGGGUUGGCACGACCGCUCAGAGCCGGAAAGUGGUCAAACUUGGUCAUUUAGAGGAAGUAAAAGUCGGUAACAAGGUUUCCGUAGGUGAACCUGCGGAAGGAUCAUUACCGAGUGCGGGCCCUCGCGGCCCAACCUCCCACCCUUGUCUCUAUACACCUGUUGCUUUGGCGGGCCCACCGGGGCCACCUGGUCGCCGGGGGACGCACGUCCCCGGGCCCGCGCCCGCCGAAGCGCUCUGUGAACCCUGAUGAAGAUGGGCUGUCUGAGUAUUAUGAAAAUUGUCAAAACUUUCUAACAAUGGAUCUCUUGGUUCCGGCAUCGAUGAAGAACGCAGCGAAAUGCGAUAAGUAAUGUGAAUUGCAGAAUUCCGUGAAUCAUCGAAUCUUUGAACGCACAUUGCGCCCCCUGGCAUUCCGGGGGGCAUGCCUGUCCGAGCGUCAUUUCUGCCCUCAAGCACGGCUUGUGUGUUGGGUGUGGUCCCUCCGGGGACCUGCCCGAAAGGCAGCGGCGACGUCCGUCGGUCCUCGAGCGUAUGGGGCUUUGUCACUCGCUCGGGAAGGACCUGCGGGAGUUGGUCACCACCAUAUUUACCACGGUUGACCUCGGAUCAGGUAGGA